UUAAAUACCAAAAAAAAAAAAAAAAACGUGGCUACAAUCAGCUGCUGAGAGGAUCUCUCCGGUUUAGUUCCUGCCAAUUUCCCUCGGAGCUGGCACUGCAGGGGACUCCAGAGGCAUAGAGAAGGAAGAGGUGAGGGAGGGUGAUUUGGGAAGGGAGGAGAAAUGGACACAUGCCAUCGAUGGAGCGACAAGGCUCUUGCUGCCAAAGUGCCAGCAGGCAGCAUGGGGCCAAAAAAAAAACCCAACAAAACAAAACCCACAACAAAUAGCUGGCAACUCCUCCUGAAGCAGGCGGCGUCUGAGUUGGCAGAGGUGCCAUGGAGGACAAGGCUGCAGCAUGCAGGCGAACCCGGAGAGUGAGCAAGCAAGCCGGGAGAGAUGUGGCGACAUAUGCAGCGCAGGGUGACCUGGUAGCAUGAGACAGAAGAAGAGCUGGCGUUCAAAGGAUGCCUCAGAUGAAAAGUGAUGGAUCCUACAUAUAAGUGUGUGUGAUUCUGAGUCCUGUGAUUCUGAGAUUCCUGAGAAGCAUGACAAGUCAGUUUCUAUUCUAAGGGCCAGAGGAGUCGUGUAAAGUCCUUGGCUAGGCUGAGGACAUGUGGUUUUACGGUUCUUUCUAUCUCGGACUUCUUCAUCGGGAUCUCACUUUGGGCUAUGGAGUUUGUGGUUUGCUACCUUUGGAGCUGCUGCUGAUCCAGGGAACUGCUGCUGCUUCUGUCUCCUGACCUGUAUUGCUUCUCUAAAAUGUGCUCAGACCCACCACUCGCCAUUGGAGAAGGUAUUUAGCCUGGAUCCACGGAGCUCUGGCCCAAUGCAGGAUCUUUGUCACAGAUUCUGCUCCUCUGCUACCUGGCUGCUCCUGCUUCCUUUGGAAUAGAAUUCCGAGAUUCAUGGAGCCUCCUGAGACUUGGCUCCCUGGGCCCUGUGUGUGCUUUUUUCCAGGGGCUGGGUUCGGGCACAUCUGGCUGCUGUCAGACUUUGAAAUCUUUGGCUCACGUUCCUGGGGCAGCUGGGAGCAAGACUCAGGCUACAUGGUAGGGGAGGGGAGAGAUGAUGGGCACUGCCCCCCCAGGGAUGAUCUCAGGGAAGAGGAGUUUUUGGCCAUUGCCGACAGUGCCCUCCCUCCCCCUUCACACAGUGGAAGCCAUCUCCAUUAUGGUCUGCAAUCUCUUCUGGGCUCUUGGGGCUGAGGCAGCAGCCAAGGAGGGGGCCAGCACACAGGGGGUUAACCGCUGAUUACAGCCUUUGUCUCUGCAUCAGUGUACAUAAUGCGCUCCUCAUUUGCAUACUGCAGUGUGCGCUCAAUUAAAAUGAACUUUUAAUUUC